AUCACAGUUUGGGAGGUGACCCGACAUGCUUUGCAAGCAGGGGGUUAGGGGUUCGAGUCCCCUAGGCUCCA
rnacentral:tRNA from 1 species